rnacentral:lncRNA from 1 species
AAUGAUUAUAUAAAGGAUAAGAGGAAAGAAAGAAAAAUAAUAAUAAUAAUCACAAUAAUAAUAAGGCAAAAUAAUAAAACAAUUGUUGAAUAUUUAUAUACAUAGAGUAGUUAUAAUAAUGAUUAUAAUAAUUAAAUGAUAUAUAUAUAUACACAUGUAAUUCAAAUUAUGAUUGGCGAUUAUACAGGGUUUCUCUUUCCCUUCUUUUUGCAUGAAAUACAUAACAAACAGUGGAUAAUGAUCAGUAGAUUUAUGGUCGUCGCCACCUUGCAGGGAGUUGGUGUCUUUGGGCGUUCCGCCAAGACAUGUCAUCCUCCGUCUGGGUGUUCCCGUGACAGAUUUGCAUGCGGCGAAUAUCCCUGGUGAUAUUUUGUGCUAUGUCCUGGGCGCUCCUGGCCCUAAUAGUCCCUAUCCGGUUUAUCUGAUUCGGAAGAAAGGGAGGCGCCGUGCUCCCUUGAGUUGAAGGAAUUGACAAAGGGGAGAUUGACCUGACGAAGUUUUCUUCGCCCCGGUUGGUGGUAGCCCCGGUCCUGCCAGUGGAGUACUGCUUACAUCGUUCCGACUAUGAAAGUCGCCCAAUGCCGCUCUGCAGGACUCUGGGUAAACACCACGGACACCCCCAUGCUCCCGUGGGUGUCGCGUCGGAUUGCCUCUCCCGUCUUCAUCGCCUCCUGCACGUCGUGUGGAUUAAUGACUUUGCUUGAUGGAGCAAAUCUACUUCUCCCUCCGGCGCUUCCCAAUCGUUCUGAACUGCCAGAACGGCAACAUCCUCCUACAACGGGUCCCAUAAGUCCUCCUCAUCUGCCCAACCGUCGUUGGCGGGACGUCUGGAUGUCAUAGCUGAAGGUGAAUAAGUAGAAAUAAAACAAAGGAACAAAAAAAAAAACUGACAAAAAUAAUAUCUACUGCAAGAGUAGUAAUAAUAAUAAUACUAAUAAUGAUAACGACAACGCCUUACGAUUAUUGUGCGGGCUCCUUUGUCCUGCGAAAUUCCUUUACUGUCACGGUCACCGGGAGUCCAUUUCCCAUUCUGAAGACCUGUAUGUCGUCUCCCUCGAUCCGGGCUCCUUUAUUUUCAUUUAUUACCUCUCGCCGGUUGGCCUGUAUACCUUGUACCGAC